rnacentral:lncRNA from 1 species
CUACUGCCAUACAACACCCUGUAGCUGUGGCUCCCACUGUCGUCCACCAUGGCCAGCUUGUCCCUGUACACUCGGGCUCUGGAAAACACAGGGGCACUGUCCCCUGCUGCAGCCUGCCUUGCUCUUGUGGAGGUGUAGGCUCUCCUCAAGACCUGUCCCAGCAGCCAUCUCCCUGGCCCUGCCUCACACUGUAACCAGCCAGCAGUCAAAGCAGAGAGCCACAGAGGGACCAAGUGACGUACUGCCCCUGGCAACAUGAUGGGAGACUAUGCUGCUCAAAGCUACCAAUGUUAUCCUCAUGAUGUCAAGCCACACAAUGGUCGCAUUGGAGUACCUGUUAAUUUUGAGAGAUUCAUAAUUAACAUAGGCUAAGUGAAAUUGUUAUGAUAAGAAUUAGGCGCCAUCGCUGCUAUAGUGAUAUGACUGUAUUUCUGACAGGCUUGCAGUUAGCCUUUAUCUGCAGUGACACCUCUAUGAAUACUGUGCAGGCUAGACUGCUAGCAAAUAUUUUGCUAUGUCACAUUGUUUAUUUUGAAAGGAUAAAUCAUUCAGGGACAGGCAGUGGCACAGAAUGUAAUCAGUUUGUGGCGUGAGCGCAGUGUUGGCUUUUGCUUCAAGUCACUUUGGUAUAGUCAAGCUUUUACAGGUACAGUGAGGUAGCUCUGCAACUUUAGCAAACAGUCUGUCACCUGACUUGAUCUUUGGUCUUUGGACUUGAGGGUAGUGGUGCAGCUAACUGGCUAACUAACGUAACACCAAUCAAUGAAUAUGCUCAUACAUAGCAGCUAGCCAGUUCAUGCCGGUGGCUGGUGAAGACUAAUUUUAGCGAGAAACCCAGACUGUGUUUUACAUUCUAACAAGCGAUGUUAGUAUGCUUAAACGAUAUCCGUUUUCUCAAAGAGGGCAAUGUUUGCUAACCUGGUCAUUCAAACCUACUGCUAAUGUAAAUAUUCACCUUACCCAAACACCGAUCAUUCUUGUGACGGUGCGUCAGAAUAAAAUUCCCGAAUGGAAACUGGAGCUAGAGUUUAGAGUUCUGGUUGUGAAACACGGAACAAAGAAAUCUGAGAAUGAAAAUCCAGAGUGGUGAGGAAUCAAGUGGUAGAAGACUUCACUGACCUCUUAAUAUAACCUCUAUGACUGUGAGUAACCCAUUCAUUAAUGUAAACUGUGACAAAUCUCAAUGUGUGGAGUUUGCAAACUUGAAUC